rnacentral:tRNA from 1 species
GCCGAAGUGGUGAAAUUGGUAGACACGCCAUCUUGAGGGGGUGGUGGCCUAACGGUCGUGCCGGUUCGAGUCCGGCCUUCGGCACCA